rnacentral:rRNA from 1 species
UACGUAGGAUGCUAGCGUUGUCCGGAUUUACUGGGCGUAAAGCGCGCGCAGGCGGCACUGUAAGUAAGGUGUGAAAUAUCCCUGCUCAACGGGGAGGGUGCACUUUAGACUGCAGAGCUAGAGGACGGUAGAGGGGGGUGGAAUUGCUGGUGUAGCGGUGAAAUGCGUAGAGAUCAGCAGGAACACCCGUGGCGAAGGCGGCCCCCCGGGCCGAACCUGACGCUGAGGCGCGAAGGCUAGGGGAGCGAACGGG